rnacentral:rRNA from 1 species
AACGAACGCUGGCGGCAGGCCUAACACAUGCCAGUCGAGCGCCCCGCCAGGGGAGCGGCGGACGGGUGAGUAACGCGUGGGAAUAUGCCCUUUGCUACGGAAUAGUCUCGGGAAACUGGGGGUAAUACCGUAUACGCCCUUUGGGGGAAAGAUUUAUCGGCGAAGGAUUAGCCCGCGUUGGAUUAGGUAGUUGGUGGGGUAAUGGCCUACCAAGCCGACGAUCCAUAGCUGGUUUGAGAGGAUGAUCAGCCACACUGGGACUGAGACACGGCCCAGACUCCUACGGGAGGCAGCAGUGGGGAAUCUUAGACAAUGGGGGCAACCCUGAUCUAGCCAUGCCGCGUGAGUGAUGAAGGCCUUAGGGUUGUAAAGCUCUUUCAGCUGGGAAGAUAAUGACGGUACCAGCAGAAGAAGCCCCGGCUAACUCCGUG